rnacentral:sRNA from 1 species
CAGCCUCCGCUGUGCUGCAGCUGCCCAGGUUUUAUAGCCUGAGCCAAACCGUUGCGCAGUGCUGAUCAUGCUUAGCUCCCGUUUCAUUUGGCAUCGCCAGUGAACCUUAGACUUCGCGAAUGUGAAGGUUGUUCUUCGAAUUCCGGGAAAAUUGUCAGCCCGAGGAAGAAGAGAAAGGAUAUAGCUGGAGGACCUCAAAUGCCAAGAUGCCUUUUAAAGGGCAAACAGCCUCUCAGGAUAUUUGAACUGGAGAUGGCUCCGUGUGCGAAUGCAAUUGCUGCCAAGACUGAUGACCUGAGUUUGAUCCUGAAACUCCCAUGGUUCCCUGAGUUCUGAAGGGAAGAAUGAGGCGGGACAUUCCACAGAACUGUGUUUCAAGGACUCCUGUUUGUGUAAUGUCUGGCUUUGUAUGUCUGCAUCUGUUCUCAUCUGCUGCAGGAAGAAGCUUCUCUUAUCGUGACUGAAUAAGGCACUGAUCUAUGAGGAUAAUGGAAUACCAUUAGUAGUCAUUUUAUUGAUACUUUACUUUUUUGUUUUGAACAGAAACAUUUUUGCCAUAGGGCAUUGAACUAUCUAUUUUCUGGCUCUUGGUCUCCAAAGCAAUGUCAGAUAUGGGCUCUAUCUCAUGGAGUGGUCUUUAAGGCAGAUCAAUUAUUUGUUUGCAACUCUCACAUGUUCUGAGCCAUCAUUGCCCUAACAUAUCUUGCAGGCAGGAUAGAUUGUAGGUUAAAGGUUUUGUGGCUGGGUUGUUGAUUAUAUUUCUCUUUUGGUAGCUAACAGAGUACCCUUCCACCCAAAGACACUGGAAUGUAGGUAUUAAAGCCCAUCAUGGAUUUCUCCAUAUUCAGUGUGUUAUGUGAGUUUCAUUCUCAGCAGUGUGCCCUGAUAGUUUGUAGAGAUUAACCCACUGUACUGGUAACACUUGGGUUGUUUGGGGAUUUCCAAAUGACCCUUUUGGCCAAUAAUUCAAUUCAGUCCAAUCCAGUUCUGGAAUUUGAGGCUUUGAUGAGUAAUGGCCAGUGACACUCUGUUGCCCCCAGUAUUAGGAGACCUCACUAGCCUCUUCUUUAUCUUCUUUAGUAAGUUCACACCAUACCAUAUUUCCGUACCGUCCCUCAAAUGCCCUUCAGUUCCAACUGUUCCUUCUUACAAAUCUACUCUUAACUCUAUCUCUCCUCUAGUUUCUGGAUAUAUGAAUAGAACAACAGUUAACAAUGUUGGGCAUACUGCCCCACAGGUGGCCCAUACAUAUACAGCCACCCAAUUAGACAAGAUGGAUGAAGCAAAGAAGUGCA